GCGUAUAGCUCAGUCGGUUAGAGCGCAUCUCUGAUAAGGAUGAGGUCCCUGGUUCGAAUCCAGGUACGC
rnacentral:tRNA from 1 species